rnacentral:rRNA from 1 species
CCAGGCCCUAUGGGGCGCAGCAGGCGCGAAAUCUCUGCAAUAGGCGAAAGCCUGACAGGGUUACUCUGAGUGAUUCCCGCUAAGGGGAUCUUUUGGCACCUUUAAAAAUGGUGCAGAAUAAGGGGUGGGCAAGUCUGGUGUCAGCCGCCGCGGUAAUACCAGCACCCCGAGUGGUCGGGACGAUUAUUGGGCCUAAAGCAUCCGUAGCCGGUUCUGCAAGUCCUCCGUUAAAUCCACCUGCUUAACAGAUGGGCUGCGGAGGAUACUGCA